rnacentral:lncRNA from 1 species
UCACAAAGAGCUACAGUAUGUUCACAACACAUGCAGGAUCAAUACCGAUCGGGAUGCGCGCAGGAACCAUGUAACAGGAAGCUCGAGAGGGCUUAUAAUAGGAUGCUCAUAAGAGCUAUGGCGUGUCUGCAACAUAUGCAGGACUACAACCAAUAGGGGAAAUCCUGUAUCCAUCGAAUUUCAUUUAUUCAAACGGGACUUAGCACUUGUCAGACAUUAUCGGAUAUGUGAUUAAUGUUUAUACAUGACAAUCAUACAUUUCACAAUCUUAACAUUCAAUUUAAACAUAUAACAUGC